CCUACGGGGGGCAGCAGUGAGGAAUAUUGGUCAAUGGACGAAAGUCUGAACCAGCCAUGCCGCGUGCAGGAUGACGGCUCUAUGAGUUGUAAACUUCUUUUAUAAAGGAAUAAAACGAGGCACGUGUGCCUUUUUGCAUGUACUUUAUGAAUAAGGAUCGGCUAACUCCGUGCCAGCAGCCGCGGUAAUACGGAGGAUCCGAGCGUUAUCCGGAUUUAUUGGGUUUAAAGGGAGCGUAGAUGGGUUGUUAAGUCAGUUGUGAAAGUUUGCGGCUCAACCGUAAAAUUGCAAUUGAUACUGGCAGUCUGGAGUACAGUUGAGGUAGGCGGAAUUCGUGGUGUAGCGGUGAAAUGCUUAGAUAUCACGAAGAACCCCGAUUGCGAAGGCAGCUUACUAAACUGUGACUGACAUUGAUGCUCGAAAGUGUGGGUAUCAAACAGGAUUAGAUACCCGAGUAGUC
rnacentral:rRNA from 1 species